GGUGUUAGUUGAGUUCUACUGGUAAAACAUUUGGAUUAUGAUACCAGAGGUUCGGGGUUCAAAUCCCGUCAGCAUUA